UAAAUGAAAACGUUGGUACCUGAAGGC
rnacentral:piRNA from 1 species